CACAUGACUUAAGGAGGAUGUCUUUUGUGAAAGCAAAGAGAGGAAGAGACAGGGGGAAAGAGAGCAGCUUUUUCGAGAGGCAGCUUCAACCAGUUACUCUUCUUCUUACGUUAAGGAUGCGAAGUGGACGAUCACUUUUGAUACAAACGCUGCUGCUAACUUCUUUACAACUAUGGGGAACGCUUUGGGCUUCCACGUCUCCUCAAAACCCGCCGGCACCUGAACUACGGAUACAUUCGCGGUCCAGGGACUCUGUGGUGCUGGUUUGCCGGACCUCAGAAGGCCACCACGGAGUUCUAUUCAAACUGUUCAGAUACACCAAGGAGGUGGAUUCAGUGGAGCUGUCGCCAUCUGAGGAGGUCCUCUUCACUGUCCAGCUCAAAGUGGCAACAGAACCUGAACUUUUUUGCUGUAUGUAUAAGAACCAGCAAGGCCUCUACAGUGCUUUCAGUCCCUAUUUAAAGACAGAACAUCAAACAGUCAUACAUCUUGCCUGCCUCUCCAGAUGUUGCCCCCACACAGGCUCUACCCAGCCUGCCACCUCCAGUCUUAUCAGUGGAGCCCCCCGGCGGGAUGGUUGAACGUGGCGACAUCUUGCACUUCAGCUGCUCUGUCCCAGCUCUUCAAUCCACCUACAAACCAACCUCCUUCAUUUUGCUGAGGGCAUCAUCAGGGCGGGAGUCCAUUAUCAGCCAGCAUCAUGACGUUCGUACAUCAAACUUAGAAUCCCAACCAGGGGUUUUCAGUGUGGGCCCGGUAAAGCAGGGAGAGGGCGGGGAGUAUGCCUGCCUCUACUACACCACUAGUGGAGUGGACAUAGUCAAUUCAACGAUCAGCAACAAAAUCCAAAUAACUGUUAGAGAUGAUCUGCCUAUACCCACCCUCGUUCUCCAGCAACACGCACAAGUGUGGCAUAUGCUCUGCACGGGCUCCCCUGCAUACCCCGGGGCUGUCUUCACCCUGUACUUGAUGGACAGUCAACUUCUUGUGGACAGUCACCAUGUACAAAUCACCAGCCACAAGAGCGCCUUCGCAAUGCCAGUGCAGGAUACUCUGAUGGCUUUGUACCAGUGCCAGUACAGUGUCCUCUUGGGAGGGAAGUGGAUUAAUUCUGAACGCAGCCACCCUCUGGCCAUUUCCAAAGGUAUUGACUUUGCCCUGCUUGUCCUCAUUAGUGUUGCUGGUGAGCUGAGCCUAAACCAGGUGACUUUGGACAAGAGACAACUACACCCUAGAUAAGUCGCACAUACUACAUAGACAUCCACUCACACAUACAUUUAUAUCUUUUGACAAUUUAGGUCUGGUUGGUCUAGAUGGAUGACUUGAAAACACAUGAGCUAAUUUCUUCAAGCUAGAAACAUGUCUAUGUUCUGUGAAUCAUUUUGUAAAAAUGAACUGAAUAUUAGAAAAUAUGCCCUGAGAUUGACCGGCAACCAGUUUAGGGUGUACCUGCCGCUGGUUAAAAAAAAAAUCAGACUGGAUAGGCUCCAGCUCAUUCGCGAUCCUAAUGAGGACAAGGGCUUCAGAUUUUUUAAACAGAGAUUUGCAUGGAUUUACAUGCAAAAUGUGUCCUCUUUUUCAGAUCUUCCUCCUCCAUCAACAGGUAGUGUUAUUUUAAUAGAAAGAUCUUUCCAUACCUCGAUUUACAUAUGUGUGUGUCUUCCAUCUGCGCAGAUGUGUCAGGUGUGGACUGGCCUCUUAUACUUGGCUCCUUAUCCACUGUGGUGCUCUUCCUCUGCUCAGUGGCCCUCCUGGUAGUGGUGGUGCACAAAAAAGUGAAAGCAGCGGCUGAUGAAAAGAAGAAAAGAUCGGAAGCAAAGUUUUGGACUCAAGUUCACGCCAGGGACCAUGUUGUUGACCUAACCCUCAGGUGUACCAGUGUCAAUUCUCAGGAAUGGGCCAGGGGGGACAUGGGCACAGACAACACCUCCAGAUCCCCAUUAUGGAACACCCACUCCACAUUCACAGACCCUAUCCAUUAGAAAUCUCUCUCUCACUCUCUUUCUCUCUGUAUAUUUAUACUUUAUUAUGGUGUGUCUGUGUAGCAUCAGCUGGCUUUAAACACAGCAGGACAGGAAAAGCAAUUUCCUUACUUCCAAUUUCAUGUGGAGAGGCAUGCUUCUUCAAUUAGACAGGAUGUGAUGUUUGCUUUACGUACCUGCCACUGAGCCACUAUUACUAAAUAAACCCUGCCGUGUUUACUUGUGA